UACGGAGGGGGCUAGCGUUGUUCGGAAUCACUGGGCGUAAAGGGCGCGUAGGCGGCCGUUCAAGUCGGGAGUGAAAUCUCUGGGCUUAACCCAGAGGCUGCUUCCGAAACUGCUGUGCUUGAGUGUGGGAGAGGCGCGUGGAAUUGCAGGUGUAGCGGUGAAAUGCGUAGAUAUCUGCAGGAACACCCGUGGCGAAAGCGGCGCGCUGGACCACUACUGACGCUGAGGAACGAAAGCUAGGGGAGCAAACAGG
rnacentral:rRNA from 1 species